rnacentral:rRNA from 1 species
UUCGGUUGAAUGGUUAGUGGCGCACGGGUGCGUAACGCGUGGGAAUCUGCCCUUAGGUACGGAAUAACUCAGGGAAACUUGUGCUAAUACCGUAUGAUGUCGAGAGACCAAAGAUUUAUCGCCUAAGGAUGAGCCCGCGUUGGAUUAGCUAGUUGGUGGGGUAAAAGCCUACCAAGGCUACGAUCCAUAGCUGGUCUGAGAGGAUGAUCAGCCACACUGGGACUGAGACACGGCCCAGACUCCUACGGGAGGCAGCAGUGGGGAAUAUUGGACAAUGGGCGACAGCCUGAUCCAGCCAUGCCGCGUGAGUGAAGAAGGCCUUCGGGUCGUACAGCUCUUUUACCCGGGAUGAUAAUGACAGUACCGGGAGAAUAAGCUCCGGCUAACUCCGUGC